rnacentral:rRNA from 1 species
GACGAACGCUGGCGGCGUGCCUAAUACAUGCAAGUAGAACGCUGAAGGAGGAGCUUGCUUCUCUGGAUGAGUUGCGAACGGGUGAGUAACGCGCAGGUAACCUGCCCGGUAGCGGGGGAUAACUAUUGGAAACGAUAGCUAAUACCGCAUAAUAGUAGAUGUUGCAUGACAUUUGCUUAAAAGGUGCAAUUGCAUCACUACCAGAUGGACCUGCGUUGUAUUAGCUAGUUGGUGAGGUAACGGCUCACCAAGGCAACGAUACAUAGCCGACCUGAGAGGGUGAUCGGCCACACUGGGACUGAGACACGGCCCAGACUCCUACGGGAGGCAGCAGUAGGGAAUCUUCGGCAAUGGACGGAAGUCUGACCGAGCAACGCCGCGUGAGUGAAGAAGGUUUUCGGAUCGUAAAGCUCUGUUGUAAGAGAAGAACGAGUGUGAGAGUGGAAAGUUCACACUGUGACGGUAUCUUACCAGAAAGGGACGGCUAACUACGUG